rnacentral:tRNA from 1 species
GGGGAGGUAGCGAAGUGGCUAAACGCGGCUGACUGUAACUCAGUUCCUUAUGGUUCGGCAGUUCGAAUCUGCCCCUCCCCA